rnacentral:rRNA from 1 species
GACAGAGGGUGCAAACGUUGUUCGGAAUUACUGGGCGUAAAGCGUGUGUAGGCGGCUCUGCAAGUCGGAUGUGAAAGCCCUGGGCUCAACCCAGGAAGUGCACUCGAUACUGCAGGGCUUGAGUAUCGGAGAGGUUGGUGGAAUUCUCGGUGUAGAGGUGAAAUUCGUAGAUAUCGAGAGGAACACCGGUGGCGAAGGCGGCCAACUGGACGAAUACUGACGCUGAGACACGAAAGCGUGGGGAGCAAACAGG